rnacentral:rRNA from 1 species
UACGUAGGGCGCAAGCGUUAUCCGGAAUUAUUGGGCGUAAAGAGCUCGUAGGCGGUUUGUCGCGUCUGCCGUGAAAGUCCGGGGCUCAACCCCGGAUCUGCGGUGGGUACGGGCAGACUAGAGUGAUGUAGGGGAGACUGGAAUUCCUGGUGUAGCGGUGAAAUGCGCAGAUAUCAGGAGGAACACCGAUGGCGAAGGCAGGUCUCUGGGCCGUUACUGACGCUGAGGAGCGAAAGCGUGGGGAGCGAACAGG